AUGCCUUAAAGUUGUAAGGAAAGUAACAAUUCGGUGUGACACCCGAAACCCCACUGUUAACGUGAGAUGAAUUUUUAAGUGGGUAAAGGUUGCCCCUAAGGUGACUGGCCUCCUUUGCAGGAUGCCUGGGAGUCACCAACUGCCUG
ensembl:snRNA U12 U12 minor spliceosomal RNA